rnacentral:rRNA from 1 species
UACAGGGGGUGCAAACGUUGCUCGGAAUUAUUGGGCGUAAAGCGCGCGUAGGCGGCUUUGUAAGUCGGUUGUGAAAUCCCCGGGCUUAACCUGGGAACUGCAUCCGAGACUGCAUGGCUAGAGUAUGGGAGAGGGAAGUGGAAUUUCAGGUGUAGCGGUGAAAUGCGUAGAUAUCUGAAGGAACAUCAGUGGCGAAAGCGACUUCCUGGACCAAUACUGACGCCCAUGUGCGAAAGCGUGGGGAGCAAACAGG